rnacentral:rRNA from 1 species
UGGGGAAUUUUACGCAAUGGGGGAAACCCUGACGUAGCGACACCGCGUGAGCGAAGAAGCCCUUUGGGGUGUAAAGCUCUGUCAACAGGAACGAAACAAAUGACGGUACCUGUGGAGGAAGCAUCGGCUAACUACGUGCCAGCAGCCGCGGUAAGACGUAGGAUGCAAGCGUUGUCCGGAUUUAUUGGGCGUAAAGAGUUCGUAGGCGGUUUGUUAAGUCUGAUGUUAAAGACCGGGGCUCAACCUCGGAAAUGCAUUGGAUACUGGCAGACUGGAGUGCAGUAGAGGCUAGUGGAAUUCCCAGUGUAGCGGUGAAAUGCGUAGAUAUUGGGAAGAACACCGGUGGCGUAGGCGACUAGCUGGGCUGUAACUGACGCUGAGGAACGAAAGCCAGGGGAGCAAAUGGGAUUAGAUACCCCAGUAGUCCUGGCCGUAAACGAUGGAUACUAGGCGUAGUGGGGUAUCGACCCCUGCUGUGCCGCAGCUAACGCGAUAAGUAUCCCGCCUGAGUAGUACGGCCGCAAGGUUGAAACUUAAAGGAAUUGACGGGGGUCAUAGCUGUUUCCU